GCGGGUGUUAUUCGGUUUGAUUGGGUGUAAAGGGUACGUAGGCGGCUUCCGCCGUUGGGUGGAUGAAAGAGCGGAGUGUUCCUACGCUGUGGCCUCACAAACAGGAAGCUUGAGUUGGGUGGAGGUUUGAUCAAUUUCUUGUGUAGGGGUAAAAUCCUGCCAUAUAAGAACGAAGACCAGAUGGAGAAAUCGUCUUUCUAUGCCCCACUGACGCUAAGGUACGGAAGCCUGGGAAUCGAACGGG
rnacentral:rRNA from 1 species